rnacentral:RNase_P_RNA from 1 species
UGAGCAGGCUACCUUAUCGCUCCAACUAAUCUUGGGGAGGAAAGUCCGGACACCAUAGUGCAGCAUAGCGGGUAACUCCCGUCAUUUCAUUUUAAAUGGAAUAGGACAAGUGCAACAGAAAGAAUGUACAGGUUAAGCUGUAGUGAAACCAGGUAAACUCUAUGUGGUGCAACGUCAUGUAAAUCGGUGUUUGAGGGUUGCACGCCCAAACCGAAGGGUAGGCGGUUAGAUUUUGUCAGUAAUGACAAAACCAGAUAAAUGAUAAGGGAGCUCCUUGGAGCUUUACAGAAUCCGGCUUAUUGGCCUGCUUAUUUU